rnacentral:rRNA from 1 species
CCUACGGGUGGCAGCAGUAGGGAAUAUUGCUCAAUGGGGGAAACCCUGAAGCAGCAACGCCGCGUGGAGGAUGAAGGUUUUCGGAUUGGAAACUCCUUUUGGUAGAGAAGAGAAUGACGGUACCUAACGAAUAAGCACCGGCUAACUCCGUGCCAGCAGCCGCGGUAAUACGGAGGGUGCAAGCGUUAUUCGGAAUCACGGGGCGUAAAGGGCGCGUAGGCGGGAUAGCAAGUCAGAUGGGAAAUCCUAUGGCUUAACCAUAGAACUGCAUGUGAAACUGUUAUUCUAGAGUAGGGGAGAGGUAGGUGGAAUUCUUGGUGUAGUGGUGAAAUCCGUAGAGAUCGAGAGGAAUACUCAUUGCGAAGGCGGCCUGCUAGAACAUAACUGACGCUGAUGCGCGAAAGCGUGGGGAGCAAACAGGAUUAGAUACCCCUGUAGUC